CAGCCGCCACGGUAAUACGGAGGGGGCUAGCGUUGUUCGGAAUUACUGGGCGUAAAGCGCACGUAGGCGGCUUGGUAAGUUAGAGGUGAAAGCCCGGAGCUCAACUCCGGAAUUGCCUUUAAGACUGCCGAGCUAGUAGGUGAGAGAGGUAAGUGGAAUUCCGAGUGUAGAGGUGAAAUUCGUAGAUAUUCGGAAGAACACCAGUGGCGAAGGCGGCUUACUGGCUCAUUCUAGACGCUGAGGUGCGAAAGCGUGGGGAGCAAACAGGAUUAGAUACCCCAGUAGUCCCUGUCUCUUAUAA
rnacentral:rRNA from 1 species